GAUGAACGCUGGCGGCGUGCUUAACACAUGCAAGUCGAACGGAAAGGCCCUGCUUUUGUGGGGUGCUCGAGUGGCAAACGGGUGAGUAACACGUGAGUAACCUGCCCUUGACUUUGGGAUAACUUCAGGAAACUGGGGCUAAUACCGGAUAGGAGCUCCUGCUGCAUGGUGGGGGUUGGAAAGUUUCGGCGGUUGGGGAUGGACUCGCGGCUUAUCAGCUUGUUGGUGGGGUAGUGGCUUACCAAGGCUUUGACGGGUAGCCGGCCUGAGAGGGUGACCGGCCACAUUGGGACUGAGAUACGGCCCAGACUCCUACGGGAGGCAGCAGUGGGGAAUAUUGCACAAUGGGCGGAAGCCUGAUGCAGCAACGCCGCGUGCGGGAUGACGGCCUUCGGGUUGUAAACCGCUUUCGCCUGUGACGAAGCGUGAGUGACGGUAAUGGGUAAAGAAGCACCGGCUAACUACGUG
rnacentral:rRNA from 1 species